UUCAGAACCAGUCUUGGACAACAUUAUGAGCUUGGCAGGAUUCCGGUGUCUAGCCCUUCAUAUGCCCCCUUCAAAUCUGCAUGAUGAGUUCCAUUGAUCUCUGGAUUUUCUUUAGGAUAGAUGCAUGAAUCCUGGUUGACUCACAUGGGAGUCCAUGCAUCAAGAAGGAUGCUUCCACUAAUCUUACAUGGAUCCCCAGAGCCAAUGCCACAUAGGCAGAAAAGGACCUUCCUCACUCUGCCAUGGCUCGCACUCACCUGACAUUUCCAGUAAAUACAAGUUUUGAGUAUCAUCAUCCUAUCACUCACCCUGGAAAAAGCAACAAUGCAGGAAGUCUCUAAGUGUGUGCAGCAUCAUACAUCAUGUAUGCCAAGCUCUAGAUGGAAAUAAACUGUAAACUAUACACAGUGCAAUAAGUUGGGAAGAGGCAGAAAAUUUGCUGUGUGUCCUUUGAGCCAUGUGAAAAGAUGAGGGAAACUCAAAUGAUUGAUGACUACCAGCCUUUCUUGUGGAUUGUAUUUGGGACUCCUCACCUAAUACACCCCAUCAUGAAGAAUCCAUGGACUGGGGAGAAUUUAAAAUGACUGGAAGCCUUCUUGUGGACAUCCAAGAUUACUUCUGCCUAUGAAAAUGAGGAACCCAAAACUGAAGUGAAAGGGAAUGAAGGAUUUGGGGAGAGGACUGUCCUUUCAUGCACCCACCCUUUCCAAAAGGAGAGUAUGCACAUUUCAAUUUUGAGAUUUAUUUCUAUUGACUAGGUUCUCUGUUAUGGCGAAUUUAUGAGUUUUUCAACAUGUAAUACAUGUCUUAAAGUUGCACUAUUAUUUUUUAACCACCAUUAGUUUAAAAACCAAAUAAAAGCUUUGCUCUAUGAUAGACCAUAUUAUUUCUCAGAAUAAAGAAAUGUAAAAGCAAAUCAUAGAGCAAGAUUUAGAGCCCUAGGGGUAACAUUUUACAGUUUCUUUUGA